CUACGGGAUGCACCAGUGGGGAAUCUUGGACAAUGGGCGCAAGCCUGAUCCAGCCAUGCCGCGUGAGUGAAGAAGGCCUUAGGGUCGUAAAGCUCUUUCGCCAGAGAUGAUAAUGACAGUAUCUGGUAAAGAAACCCCGGCUAACUCCGUGCCAGCAGCCGCGGUAAUACGGAGGGGGUUAGCGUUGUUCGGAAUUACUGGGCGUAAAGCGCGCGUAGGCGGAUUAGUCAGUCAGAGGUGAAAUCCCAGGGCUCAACCCUAGAACUGCCUUUGAUACUGCUAGUCUUGAGUUCGAGAGAGGUGAGUGGAAUUCCGAGUGUAGAGGUGAAAUUCGUAGAUAUUCGGAGGAACACCAGUGGCGAAGGCGGCUCACUGGCUCGAUACUGACGCUGAGGUGCGAAAGUGUGGGGAGCAAACAGGAUUAGAUACCCUUGUAGUC
rnacentral:rRNA from 1 species